rnacentral:rRNA from 1 species
GACGAACGCUGGCGGCGUGCCUAAUACAUGCAAGUAGAACGCUGAAGGAGGAGCUUGCUUCUCUGGAUGAGUUGCGAACGGGUGAGUAACGCGUAGGUAACCUGCCUGGUAGCGGGGGAUAACUAUUGGAAACGAUAGCUAAUACCGCAUAAGAGUAGAUGUCGCAUGACAUUUGCUUAAAAGGUGCAAUUGCAUCACUACCAGAUGGACCUGCGUUGUAUUAGCUAGUUGGUGAGGUAACGGCUCACCAAGGCAACGAUACAUAGCCGACCUGAGAGGGUGAUCGGCCACACUGGGACUGAGACACGGCCCAGACUCCUACGGGAGGCAGCAGUAGGGAAUCUUCGGCAAUGGACGGAAGUCUGACCGAGCAACGCCGCGUGAGUGAAGAAGGUUUUCGGAUCGUAAAGCUCUGUUGUAAGAGAAGAACGAGUGUGAGAGUGGAAAGUUCACACUGUGACGGUAUCUUACCAGAAAGGGACGGCUAACUACGUGCCAGCAGCCGCGGUAAUACGUAGGUCCCGAGCGUUGUCCGGAUUUAUUGGGCGUAAAGCGAGCGCAGGCGGUUAGAUAAGUCUGAAGUUAAAGGCUGUGGCUUAACCAUAGUACGCUUUGGAAACUAUUUAACUUGAGUGCAAGGGGGGAGAGUGGAAUUCCAUGUGUAGCGGUGAAAUGCGUAGAUAUAUGGAGGAACACCGGUGGCGAAAGCGGCUCUCUGGCUUGUAACUGACGCUGAGGCUCGAAAGCGUGGGGAGCAAACAGG